UUGAGAGAAAACUAUAACGGUUGCUUGCUAUAAGGUCAGCCCUCACCAAAUAAAAAAAGAAGCUACUCUUUUGGAGUAGGUAUUUGGAAUUAACUACUAGAGUCAAGAUACCAAAUAUGUACCACAAUCAUGCCUCAGUAGUCAUACUAGUCAUGUUUGUUUAUAAUGAAAAUUUAAUUUUGGAAUUUUGAAGGUUAGAUAGGAUAAUGAAAUUCAAACAAGAGCCAGGAAGAACGUCAGAUAGGAGUGUCCACCACAGUAGCUUGCUUCUGGGGCUCUCAAGUGUCGCCCAUGCGUUGCACUACUGCAUAGGUCUGGCGCACCCCACCCAAUUCUAGACCAAGUUUUGUAAGUCCAUACAGUCUCUAAAACAAUAACUUUUUUAGUAAAUUCUUUUUGUUAGGUUUUGAGUUUGUAAUGUUGGCAAACCAUGAUAAAACAUGACAAAAAUUAAGUCUCAUUAGUUUAGAAUUAUCUACAUUGAAGCCCAAGACAAAAAACUCAAGUUCAGAAAAAAAACAAAUAAGUUACCCGCUGGUUGGUUCGAUUGCUGUUAGGGAUUUUCGAUUGAUUGAAAAUCGCAUAUCAGCAAAAUCUGCAAAACGUAAAAAGGUCAUAACUUAUUCGUUUGAAGCCUAAAUCGCGAGCCAUUUUUUCCAGUAUUUAAAGGACAUUAUAAGCUAACUCUAGGUAGGGUUUUGAGAGUUUUUUAGAGAGAUUAGAGUGCAUCUUGUGCCUCUUUUGUAGAUCUAGGGUUUUGUACCCAAAAGCUUUCUUAUGUCUUCUACCGAUGCUAUUCCUUGUUGAAUCUCAAGAUCUGGUAUUGUAGAAGUUGCUGCCUUCUCUUGUCAUCAAAGGUGUUGAUGAUCUAAACUUUCAAGGGUGGUCUUGGAGUCACAAACAGGAGAGUUUGUGUUGCUAAACCUUUGAAUGGGAUCUCAAAGUCACAAACGGGGGUGUUUGUGUUUUGCAAAGGCCAAAGAAAGAAGGAGUCCGUGGAUUCGGAGCUUGCACGUGGUCGUGUCAGUAAGUUCUACUGGUUGGUAGUAAUAAGAAGUCAAGCGUGGGGGCUUGUAAGUCUUAUUGUAUGAACUUCAGUUCUUUCUAGUGGAUUUGCUUUUUACCUUGAGUAUAGCUAGGUUAAAUCCUCCCUAAGUAUUUUACCGGUUUAGUUUUCCUAGGUGACCAUAUCAUUGUCUUAUUUAUUUUCCGCUGCUAUGCAUGAUAUGAUUGUUUGAUUGUGAUAACCUAGACUUGGAAUUUGGACUAAGUAACAACUUGGCUAAUUAAUUAGGUUAAUCCAAUUGUGUUUUAAGGGGUCUAAAAACUGACAAGUGGUAUCAGAGCGGGUUGCUUUUUUGUUUUAGAUCUUUUGAUAUAAGAGCUGAUCCUUGGCCCCUGUUGUCAUGGAUAAUUUGAAGUGUCUUUCUGAUUAUGUUUCUGCUCAUGCUUCUGCUGAUUUUAUUGAUGUCUGUAAAACUCUUCGUAAGGAAUUAUUGAAAUCUAUGAAAAUUGCUAAGAAAUUCAAGGAAGAGUUAAAAUUGGCUAAUCUUGAAAAAGAGGAAUUGGUUGUUAGAUUAGAUGAAUCUAAUAAAAAGAAUGAAUUUUUGAGAAAUCAAAUUUCCUCUCAAGAUGAGAAGAUGAAAAGCUUGGAACAAGAGUUAGUUAAAUCUAAAACUAAAAUUGAAAAUUUGACUUGUACCAAGUCUGCUGUUGAUAACGGAAGUAUUUCUGUUUCUCUUAAGCCUAAAACUGAGAAAGUUUAUAUCCCUCCUUUCAAGAGGAAUAAUAAAGAAAAAGCUUAUUUUGCUAGGUUAGACAAAGGUAAAAGUUCUGAUGUUGACGCUGAUGUUUCUAAACCUAUGUCUAAACCUACUAUUAGAGAGCAUAAUAAAUCUGUUUUUGUGCCUACUUGUCACCUUUGUGGUGUUGUUGGUCAUAUUAGACCAAAUUGUUCUUUGUUGAGGCAAAAACCAAAAUCUGAGACUAGACUUGUUGUUAGGAAUACUGAUGUUCCUAAAUUUGUUCAUAUUUGUCACUUUUGUGGUGUCUCCGGUCACAUUCGUCCUAAUUGUCAUAAACUGAAAUUUAAGCAUUUUGUGUUUCAAUCUAGGAUAUGUGAUGAUAUUUCUCCUGCCAUAAGUUCAUAUAAAUUGUUUCAUAUUAUUUUGAAAAAUUUAAGCCUGUUGGUUUGUGAAAGGAAUUUGCAGGAUUUCAAUCUGUCUCAGAAAAUUGGUGUAAUCCCUCAAAUGCACUCUGUUUCACAUGGAUUUUCACCUACAAAGCCGAAGACUUGUGCUAGAUGGGUGAGAAAAGAUUCUCUAAAGUGAGUGUUGCUGACUUGUCCCUGAUUUAAUUCUUUCAAUUGUUUAUGGACAUGUCUUGUUUUUGUUUUUUUGGUUGUUUUGUUUCUUUUAGAAUAUUUUUUUAAUUUAAUAAAAAAAAAUCCAAAAACAUUGAAAAAAUUUCAAAAAGACAAAAAUAUUUUAUUUUGUGUCUUGUUUUAUUUGUUUUGAGGAUUACAUGAAUUAUGAUAUCUCUCUUGAUUUAGAACAUGCUUGACAUUGUGGAGAAACUUGAAAGCUAUUUUUGAUAUUAUGUGAGUAUGUACUAGUUUGUACAUAUACUCAAGGGUUAAUUAAGAAAUUGAUAUUUCUUGUUUGUGUACCGUCUAUAGCUUAGUUAAGCACUGUCAUGCAUUGCAUUUGCAUUGAUCAUUUAGCAUAAUGUGGGUUUUUUGUUUUUGGUCAUAAAUUUUUUUAAAACCAAAAUUUUUUUUGUGUUUUGUAUUUCACAUCUUGGAUUUAUAAUCAAGGAUUGGCCAUAUUAUCUUUACAUAACAAGUUUAUGUAUCUUGUUUAGCUUUGAUGAGCUUACUUAUUGCACUUUACUAGUUGAAACUUUGUAGUGCAUGUUGUGUGGGAGAUAUUUAUAGUUUUUGAUCACUUUGUCUUGAUCUUGAAGUCACAUGUCUUUGACUGUCGGACUUGAACCUUUUGAGAAAUGCAUAAAUAACCAUCUCACCAUUGUUCACUAGCCAAUCAUGAACACCUUAGUGCAUAUCAUAAGAUUUUGUACUCGAGAAAGUGUAGCACAUGCACAAAAAAAAAACAUAAGGUGAAGCCUCGGUUUAAAUUGCUUAAUACUUAAAAUUGGUGUGUACUAUUAGGCUUGAUGUCAAACUCACAUGACUUAAAAUUGGUAUAUAUAUUAUGAGGCAUAAAUACAAGAAACUUACAUGAUUGCAAGCUUAUGAUCUAGGAGAUAUGGUAGUUAUAUGAUGUAACUCUUUAGGUGAUAGUCUCUUUUAAAUUCUAUGUGAUGAAUUUUGUAGACUUUGUGAUUGAUUGCUAUUCACAUAUCACCUCACAUGUAUCUCAAGUUUUUGCUAGUUGCACACACUACACAAGUUACUCUUUGUUAAACUUGGUACAUUAUAUUGUGUGUGAUCUUGUUGUGGCCAUCCAAGAUUAAAAAUUCCUUGAUUUUAAUGCAAAAUGUGUUUAAUGUUUGCGCUUUGAGGACAAAUUGAUUGAAAAACUUGUUUUUGGAAGAUCUGGGUUGAGUUCAAGAGUUUUUUUUGAAAAACUUUUAAUCUCAUACUCAUGCAUUUCAUUCAUGAAAUAUUGUGCUUUGAGGAGUUUCUGCAUUAAAUUGCUCUGUUUUUUCAAAAAAUUUAUUUUUCCAUGCAUCAUUUAUGUUUAGGAUUCACAUGCAUUGCAUUGUUUUCUGUAUCCAUCUUGCAGUUUUGCAGUCAUAUCUCUCAUUGUUUUCACAUACACUUUGCUAAAUUGGGUACUCAACUUGAUUUAAAAAUUGAUUGAUUAAUUUUUGAAUUAUAUACUUUCUAGUAUAUGCUAUUUUUAUGUGUAAAUUGUAGAAAAUUAUUUUCUUAAGAGAUAUGAUGGAUAAUCAAUGUGCAAAUAUUUUCUCUACUUAUGUAACUGUUUAUGGGUCACAUAGUGUCAUAUUUGCAUUUUAUUGAAAGAGAGAAUAUUUUUCUUCAUGUGUAUCCUCAAAUUUUUUUUAAAACUUGAUUUGUGUCUUUUUAUUUAUCCCCACCCCCUUUAUUUUUCCCCAAAACUGUUUUUCCCAAAACUUGUUUUGUUUUUCCUAUUUUUAUAGGGGGAGAAAUUUUUUUUUAACCUUUGUGGUUCUUAGGGGGAGUUAUUGCUCUUCAUAGGGGGAGUUGUCUCUAUUUUCUCUUACUCUGUUGCGUAUAUUUUCUGUCUAUCUUCUGAUUAGGUAGUCUUUGUCAAUACGUGACAAAAAGGGGGAGACAUAAAUGACUGUUUGUUUUGUUUAGGAGGAGAAUAUAAAAAACUUUUUGAUGUAUCUAACUUAGGGGGAGAGUUAGUUUACUUUUGUUUUUUUUAUAUUCUGUUUCAUAUUAUUUUUUAUGUCUUUCUUUCCACACAUACAGUGAUGUGUUUGUUGAGUGUUUCAGGAAAGACAGGUACAUUUUGAUCAAGACCUUCUACCUCUUCUUGCAACUUCUAGGUUAGGAGUCUUAGAUUGGGAUUUGUGAUAUAUUUGGGCAUUUUAUUGUAUAUGGGCAUUAUGUUGUAUGUGUGUUUUGUCACGGAUUGCCAAAGGGGGAGUGUUAGGUUUUGAGUUUGUAAUGUUGGCAAACCAUGACAAAACAUGAAAAAACUAAGUCUCAUUAGUUUAGAAUGGUCUACAUUGAAGCCCAAGACAAAAAACUCAAGUUCAGAAAAAAAAAAAAAAAAAAAAAAAAAAAAAAAAAAAAAAAAAAAAAGCCCCCCCUGGUUGGUUCGAUUGCUGCUAGGGAUUUUCGAUUGAUCGAAAAUCGCAUAUCGGCAAAAUCUGCAAAAUGUAAAAAGGCCAUAACUUAUUCGUUUGAAGCCGAAAUCGUGAGCUGUUUUUUCCAGUAUUUAAAGGACAUUAUAAGCUAACCCUAGGUAGGGUUUUGAGAGUUUUUUAGAGAGAUUAGAGUGCAUCUUGUGCCUCUUUUGUAGAUCUAGGGUUUUGUACCCAAAAACUUUCUUAUGUCUUCUACCGGUGCUAUUCCUUGUUGAAUCUCAAGAUCUGGUAUUGUAGAAGUUGCUGCCUUCUCUUGUCAUCAAAGGUGUUGAUGAUCUAAACCUUCAAGGGUGGUCUUGGAGUCACAAACAGGAGAGUUUGUGUUGCUAAACCUUUGAGUGGGAUCUCAAAGUCACAAACGGGGGUGUUUGUGUUUUGCAAAGGCCAAAGAAAGAUGGAGUCCGUGGAUUCGGAGCUUGCAUGUGGUCGUGUCAAUAAGUUCUACUGGUUGGUAGUAAUAAGAAGUCAAGCGUGGGGGCUUGUAAGUCUUAUUGUAUGAACUUCGAUUCUUUCUAAUGGAUUUGCUUUUUACCUUGAGGAUAGGUAGGUUAAAUCCUCCACAGGUUUUUUACUGGUUUGGUUUUCCUAGGUGAUCAUAUCAUUGUCUUAUUUAUUUUCCGCUGCUAUGCAUGAUAUGAUUGUUUGAUUGUGAUAACCUAGACUUGGAAUUUGGACUAAGUAACAACUUGGCUAAUUAACUAGGUUAAUCCAAUUGUGUUUUAAGGGGUCUAAAAACUGACACUUUUACAUAUUAUUUACUGAAUUAAUUAAUAAUGGCGACCAUUCAUAUGCAGAAGUAGAACAAGCUAUGGUCUAGGUGGGGCAAAGGCAUUUACAUUAGCAGUGAAAAAUGAAAAAUGGUAAUUUCUAGUGUGUUUGAAGAGAUAUAUGGAGAGAUUGGAAGGCAUUGUUAAUGUGGACAUUGGCUAAUGCGGACAUUGGGACAAAAAUUGGUACGGUGGACCCACUAUUAAGUGAGAUUGAGAGAAAAAAUUGGUACGGUGGACCCACUAUUGGGUGAGAUUGAGAGAAAACUAUAACGGUUGCUUGCUAUAAGGUCAGCCCUCACCAAAUAAAAAAAGAAGCUACUCUUUUGGAGUAGGUAUUUGGAAUUAACUACUAGAGUCAAGAUACCAAAUAUGUACCACAAUCAUGCCUCAGUAGUCAUACUAGUCAUGUUUGUUUAUAAUGAAAAUUUAAUUUUGGAAUUUUGAAGGUUAGAUAGGAUAAUGAAAUUCAAACAAGAGCCAGGAAGAACGUCAGAUAGGAGUGUCCACUACAGUAGCUUGCUACUGGGGCUCUCAAGCGUCGCCCAUGCGUUGCACUACUGCACAGGUCUGGCGCACCCCACCCAAUUCUAGACCAAGUUUUAAGUAGAACAAGCUAUGGUCUAGGAUCUAAGUGUUGGGGCAAAGGCAUUUACAUUGGCAGUGAAAAAUGAAAAAUGAUAAUUUCUAGUGUGUUUGAAGAGAUAUAUGGAGAGAUUGGAAGGCAUUGUUAAUGUGGACAUUGGUUAAUGCGGACAUUGGGACAAAAAUUGGUACGGUGGACCCACUAUUGGGUGAGAUUGAGAGAAAACUAUAACGGUUGCUUGCUAUAAGGUCAGCCCUCACCAAAUAAAAAAAGAAGCUACUCUUUUGGAGUGGGUAUUUGGAAUUAACUACUAGAGUCAAGAUACCAAGUAUGUACCACAAUCAUGCCUCAGUAGUCAUACUAGUCAUGUUUGUUUAUAAUGAAAAUUUAAUUUAGGAAUUUUGAAGGUUAGAUAGGAUAAUGAAAUUCAAACAAGAGCCAGGAAGAAUGUCAGAUAGGAUGGCUUUAAAUUAGUCAUCCACAAGUUUAUUUAUCUGUCCUGAAAACUUGAUUUUCCUGUUGGUGCUGCUGAUUGAAGCUCUGUCAUUGAUGCGACAUGCUUUAUUUUUUGCUUCAAAGAGUGGAGUGAAGCUUGGAAGAUGACUCAUUAGACGAACUCCAACCAAUUGUACAGAUAUUCCUACUUUGUCAUUAAAGGGCAAAGCUUGGGUCUAGUACACUGGACCCAACACAAUAUGAACACAUGGUAAAUUUUAAUCAUGUAUCUGCAUUAUAUUGGAUUUAGUGCACUAUCUGUGUCCGCCAAUUAUUGUACUAGCCAUGUGAAGUGUCAUUGUAAUGAGUAGAAUUAUUGUACUAGUUUGUGCGCACAAGAAGAUCUUCAGAGCCUUUGCUAGAAUUAUAAAAGGGUACGAGUAUGAAGUGAACAAGCAGAACAUAUGUAGUCUGCUUCCUUUGUUUUGUUAAACAUGUUUGAAUCAAUAAAUUUUGUGUGUUUUGGUUC